rnacentral:rRNA from 1 species
AACGCUAGCUACAGGCUUAACACAUGCAAGUCGAGGGGCAGCGGGAUUGAAGCUUGCUUCAAUUGCCGGCGACCGGCGCACGGGUGAGUAACGCGUAUCCAACCUUCCGCUUACUCGGGGAUAGCCUUUCGAAAGAAAGAUUAAUACCCGAUUGUAUCUUAAGCACGCAUGAGAUUAAGAUUAAAGAUUUAUCGGUAAGCGAUGGGGAUGCGUUCCAUUAGGCAGUUGGCGGGGUAACGGCCCACCAAACCAACGAUGGAUAGGGGUUCUGAGAGGAAGGUCCCCCACAUUGGAACUGAGACACGGUCCAAACUCCUACGGGAGGCAGCAGUGAGGAAUAUUGGUCAAUGGGCGGAAGCCUGAACCAGCCAAGUAGCGUGAGGGAUGACUGCCCUAUGGGUUGUAAACCUCUUUUAUGUGAGGAUAAAUGACGGUACGUGUACCGUUUUGCAGGUAUCACAUGAAUAAGGACCGGCUAAUUCCGUGCCAGCAGCCGCGGUAAUACGGAAGGUCCGAGCGUUAUCCGGAUUUAUUGGGUUUAAAGGGAGCGUAGGCCGCCUUUUAAGCGUGUUGUGAAAUGUAGACGCUCAACGUCUGGAUUGCAGCGCGAACUGGGGGGCUUGAGUGCGCGGUAAGCAGGCGGAAUUUGUGGUGUAGCGGUGAAAUGCUUAGAUAUCACGAAGAACUCCGAUUG